AAAUAUCCCACUAGCUGUUGGAUUGGGGGGAGGACCGGUACUCAAUGUACCAAUCAUUAGUACGGUGCAAAAUUUGAGCCAUUGGAUAUUUUAAAACUGAUCUGAUGGUCACAAUUUGACACUCACUAUGUCAUUAUCUCAGCUUUCCUUUUGUCUCUCCAGUUCUCUCUUUCCUCAACAUCUCUCGCCAUUUCAUUUCCACCACCACCACCACCUCACCACCGUCGCUCGUUCUUCUCUCCUUCGCCACCACCGCCUCCGCCAUGGACCUUUUCAUCGCCCACGCCGGUAAAUUUCACCCCAAUUUCCAGUCGCCCUAAACAAACCUCUAAACCUUCCAUCGGCCAAACCUUCCACGCCGGUAAAUUUCACCCCAAUUUCCUGUCGCGUUUAGGGCUUUUUUAUGGUGGUUUGUUUGUUUUAGUUUUGAUAAUUUUUCUAAUUGGUGGUGGGCUUGUUUUGUUUAGAUGUGAAUCAUGUGAUAUUUCAUAAGUUGUUGGAAAUUAUAGGAUUUAUUAUAUUAUAGGUAUUUUUAAGGGAUUUGUGUUGUGAGUUUUUGAUUACUUUAAAUCUGUGAUGAAUACCGAGUUAGAGGGUUUACAAGAUAUGAAGCCACGCUUUAUAGCAAACCAAUUUACAAUGACUGUUUUUAAUUGUAUUGGCUUGAUACUAAGUUAAAAGCUUCUCAUUUAUAUAGUUUUUGGUUGUUAUUACAUUGUACCAGCAAAAUUUGUUUUUCACUGUAAUAAUAUUCAUUAAAGUGGAUACUAAUUAGGAACUGCCUCGUAUUUUUAUACAUAUCUUUCUUAUUAGAAAUAAAAAGGAACUGUGUUGUGCUAUACUGGGAAUGACAUAUUUUAAAAUGUAGUAUAUUGUUUUCUGAUUUGUACUCUGGUUAUUUAGUAUUAUAAAUCACCUUGUAAAGCUCCUGAUGUUUUUUUCUGGAAAAGGUUUUCAUAUUGUCUUUUCAUGUUUGAGAGUGAUUCAAAACUGAUUGCAAGUCCUAAAAUGGUGAAAUUGCACUCUUUUGACACUAAGGUACUAAAAUUCUUUGUUGGUGUUGUUACUUGUCUGUGAAAAAUAAAGAUCUGUCUGUAAUGGUAGUUAACUUGCUCGAGUUUUGUUUGUUUAUUUAUGCAGAUACACAAAGUUGACACUCUAAUAUCCUACAAGAAUGAUGAAUGGGAUGAGCAGUAGAGAAAAAAGCCACUGGCAUAUUUUACCUUUUGUUGUUUGUUUGUGGGCUUCUCAUUAACAUAUGCUGAGUAGUAGAUGUAGCGUGAAUCAUUGAGUCACAUUUUGUAAUUUGAUAGCUACAAAUGAUGUUUUCUAUGUGUGGAUGAGAGAGAAUAUGGAAUCAAAAAUAUACUACUGGCAUUUUUACUUUUUGUUGAACUCAUUUGUAAAAGUGUUUUUGAAAGUAAAACAAUGUUUUGCAUCUUAGUUCUGAGCCAACUUUUCUUUCUUUUGAUUCAGCAACUCCUCG
rnacentral:lncRNA from 1 species